GGAGAGAUGACCGAGUGGUUUAAGGCGUAGCAUUGGAAUUGCUAUGUAGGCUUUUGUUUACCAAGGGUUCGAAUCCCUCUCUUUCUG
rnacentral:tRNA from 1 species